rfam:Triticum aestivum genome assembly, contig: Triticum_aestivum_CS42_TGACv1_scaffold_221579_3B
UAUGAAACCCAUUUGGGCGAGAGUAGUACUAGGAUGGGUGACCUCCUGGGAAGUCCUCGUGAAAGGGUUUCAUAU